UACGUAGGGUGCAAGCGUUGUCCGGAAUUAUUGGGCGUAAAGAGCUCGUAGGCGGCUUGUCGCGUCGGCUGUGAAAACCUGGGGCUCAACCCUGGGCCUGCAGCCGAUACGGGCAAGCUAGAAUUCGGUAGGGGAGACUGGAAUUCCUGGUGUAGCGGUGAAAUGCGCAGAUAUCAGGAGGAACACCGGUGGCGAAGGCGGCUCUCUGGACCAUAACUGACGCUGAGACGCGAAAGCUAGGGGAGCAAACAGG
rnacentral:rRNA from 1 species